rnacentral:sRNA from 1 species
AGUUAAAGAAUCUGAUAUCUAUUUGGAAGCUCCAAUAGUUAGACAAGGGUUUAUUAAUGCUUCUACAUCAAGAGGUUUGGGGUUUGAGUCUCAGCUACUGCGAUUUAUUAGCAUAUUUGCAUAUUAAUGAAAGCAAAUGUGCAUGAGAUCUACAACGAUGUAUAAUUAUAGCUGUUUGCCAAAAUUCUAUGCAGAGAAGAUAUUAAAAGGUGUCCAUCAAACGUAUGGAGAAGGAGAAAAAGUAUCAUCUGUCGUGGAUCUAAUAAAGGUCGGAAGAAAUUAUCCGUGGUAGAAUCGUUUAUGUAACAAUUUUCAUAAUUUGUAAUAAAUAAUAAAUCUAGACGGCAAAAAAAAGA